AGAGUCACUUGCAGGUGGUGUUACCGUGUUCAAUCUGCAAUGCUUUGAAAUUAUGAAUGGGAUAGAAAAUUUUCAAUAUUCCUAUUGUGUUUUUGCACUUUUACCGUCGUUUUUCUGCAUAUGAAUUUUUAUGACUCAUUUGUAGUGGGGGUGGAGAACAAAGGGGUAAAGACAAAAGGGCAUCUGGAGGGUAAUCUUAGCAAUGUGGACUUUUU
rnacentral:misc_RNA from 1 species